ACUUCAGCACAGCUCUCGGCAGUGUUCUGUGUGGAUAGAAAUGUGAUUUGCUUAGUGGGAUUGCCCUUCGAGUUUGCUCCACCCAAAGAGGAUAUGGGCUGUUGGAGCAGGGACUAGGUUAUGUUGCCAAAAAAAAGAGCCGUUAGCUGAAGUUGCUGAACUAUUGGAAAGCCAUGCUGAGAAGUUCGGGGGUAAAGUCCUAUUUGAGUUUUAAUCACAUGGCAUUUUAAGAAUGCUUCAAAGAUGGCGGUAGCUACAGUAAUUUCGAGGAACGGACUACAAAAAAGUGGAUUUUUGGAGGUUUUAGUGAGGGACCGAUGGCACAAUGUUUUGGCCAACUUGAACGAAGAAGCUCUAACGUUGAGUUGCGAGGACCUGGGAGAGAAUGUGACCCUAAACGGCCUCACCAAUGGAUCUUACGGGUGCAACGCAACUCACCCGGAUCACACAAACAGUUCGAAAACUGCGGUGAGGACAGCUUUCACGGAUUUACAGGAGCAAGUCCCAGAGGCGAUCGCAAACAGAAAAAGAUGCGUGAAAGUAAUAAAGCAAGAGGUAGGAGGACUCGGCAUCAGCAUAAAGGGAGGAAAAGAGAAUAAAAUGCCGAUACUUAUUAGUAAGAUCUUCAAAGGUCUAGCUGCGGAUCAAACCCAAGCCUUGUAUGUCGGUGACGCGAUUCUGUCGGUGAACGGUGUGAACCUGCGGGACGCAACGCAUGACGAGGCGGUGCAGGGGCUGAAACGAGCCGGGAGAGAGGUGACGCUAGAAGUGAAGUACAUGAGAGAAGCCAGCCCCUAUGUGAAGAAGGGUUCUCCUGUGUCAGAGAUAGGCUGGGAGACGCCCCCACCUGAGUCCCCGAGGCUGGGUAGCCCCCACUGUGACGUCCCCGUCACCCCCACCAUGUCCCUACAGGGGGACAGGAGGUACAUCCCCUUAAAGAUGUGUUACGUCACCAGGAGCAUGACUUCUCCAGACCCUGGAAACAGGCAGUUAGAGCUGCACUCUCCGGACGCCAAGCAUACGGUGGUGUUACGGUGUAGAGACACAGCCUCGGCCCAGGCCUGGUUCGAGGUCAUGCAGUCGGCGACCUCUAACCUCAUCGACAAGGUCAUCACGGAGGUCAAAGAGCACACAGGAAGAACAGGAAUCGCAGGGAGCAGAGAGAUCAGACACCUGGGCUGGCUGGCUGAGAAGACAGAGAGUGAGAAGCAGCAGUGGAAGCCAGUGCUGGUGAUGGUGACAGAGAAAGACCUGCUCCUCUAUCACAGCCUUCCACGCAUGAAGGCUUCCUGGCACAGCCCUGCACACACAUACCCACUGUUAGCUACACGGCUGGUGCACUCUGGUCCCGACCGAGGCUCUCCCCAGCCGGGCGUGGAGCUGUCCUUCGCCACACGUACGGGGACCAGACUGGGCAUCGAGGCCCACCUGUUCAGAGCUGAGACCUGUCAGGACCUUUCACUGUGGACCAGGCACAUCGUUACGGGCUGUCACUCCUCUGCCCAGAUGAUCAAAGAAGUCACUACCAGCUGUGUGUACAAGGGCCAGGAGUUACCCCAUUCUAUUGUCCUGUUCCAGGCUGUGUGUACAAGGGCCAGGAGUGCAGGCUGGUGAUCCACUACGAGCAGGGCUUCUCUGUCCUGGCUGAGCAGAAGGGGGAGGACCAGGUGGACCAGGGGAACCAGAACCAAGCCAAACCUCUCCUCUGCUACCCCUUCGAACGCCUCAAGAUGUCCUCCGACGACGGGGUCAGGUUGCUCUUCCUGGAUUUCAGUGGAAAAGAGGGUGAAAUUCAGCUGGACCUCCACUCGUGCCCGAAGCCUAUCGUCUUCAUCCUCCACUCAUUCCUCUCGGCAAAGAUCGCCAGACUCGGCCUGGUAGCAUAAAGGUUCUGUUUACCACCAACGGACCACAAGGACUGAACUGUUCCAGAUUUCUAGAGUGGAGUGUCCCGGAGUUCCACAGUGGAGUGUACAGAACAGAGGAAGACAUGGCUGAUAACUGAGCUACAAGAACAAGGACUGUGAUGUGCAGUGAACUAGACACAGGAUCUACCCUGAUUCAAAAUCCACACAAACAGCUAAAAAUGAAUGGAUCAUGUUUCAAAAAACUUGAAUGAGUUGUUUUGUGUAUUUAUAGAAACACAUGCAUUACCGAUGACAUCAUAGUGAGAGAUUAGUUACAACAGAAGUUGUUUUGUGUAUUUAUAGAAACACAGAACACAGGCAUUACCGAUGACAUCAUAGUGAGAGAUCAGUUACAACAGAAGAAAUUGUUUUGUUCAAAUCGUCGUUAAGCUGUACAAGAACAAUAAUCUAUUGUUUUGGUACUAAAAACAUACUGGAAAUAUUAUCUAUCUAGCAUCCAUCCAUCCUACUCUAAUUGUUUAUUCGGCAAUCUCUGUCUGCAAAUAAUUCAGCGAUUACUGUUAACUUAAAUGAAAAAGUUACGGUGAAAAAGAUUGUAAAGGCUGCUUGAAAAUGUAAAUUGUCCUACGCCUUUGGCAGCUAUUAUAAUUCAAGGUGUAGUUUUAUUUGAACUCUGUUAAUGAUGCACAUAAAUGACAUAUUUCUGGA